rnacentral:RNase_P_RNA from 2 species
GGAGUUGGGCAGACCGUCGCUGCCGGUCGCGUUCGCGCGGCCGGGGGAGGAAAGUCCGGGCUCCGCAGGGCAGGGCGCUGGGGAAAUCCCAGAGGGAGUGAUCCCUGGACAGUGCCACAGAAAACAGACCGCCCGUACCUUGGCUCGCGCCAGGAAGUGCGGGUAAGGGUGAAACGGUGGGGUAAGAGCCCACCAGUUGUCGCGGUGACGCGGCAAGCUCGGUAAACCCCGCCCGGAGCAAGACCAAAUAGGGGAGUGUUUGAGGUUUGCCCGACCGAAACUCCCGGGUAGGUCGCUUGAGGCAGGGAGUAAUCUCUGUCCUAGAGGAAUGACGGUCCUCGAUACAAAACCCGGCUUACGCCCAACUCCAUUU